rnacentral:lncRNA from 1 species
CGGGAUUUAUGGCAACGCUGGUGCCAAAUCGCAGAAUUGUCCUAAAGCCCAGCUCUCUGAAUAAGUGAUAGCCUUAGAAUAAUACUAACCACAUUAAAAAUAAUGUAUUGCUACUUUUUGCCUAGAUCUUAUAAUAUACCAGAGACCGUGCUGCGUGUUCUAUAGGCACGAUCUCUCUGCACUCUCACAAAAGCCCCAUGACAUGAACACAUUUGUUAUCCCAAAUUUGUCAGAUGGAAAAAGAAAAAGUGAGGCACAACUCUAUUAAAUGCCUUGUCUAAGGUCAACAAGUCCGUUAGGGUUGGAACUAACUGACGACAGACGAAGCCGUCCUAACCCCUGAAAUCUACAAGUAGUCCAGGAAGAGGGGGAGAAGAUCCCUUUAGGUGUGAAGGAAGAAUGGACUGGAAAGUAGAGACCCUGAGAUCCAGGACGGAAGGAGGGAAGAGGCUCGCUUGACUGUCAUAAGCUUCAUUUUGCUGAAACAGACCCCAGAAAGGGCAGUGAUGAGAGAUGAGGCCACAAUACAGAUAUCCAAUUAUUUCAGCAUCACUUGCUAAAAAUACUUUCCUUUCGUCUUUGGAUUCCACUGGCAACUUUAUUGAAAAAUCAGAUAACUAUAUGGAGUCUUUCUCUGUCACCCAGGCUGGAGUAUUGUGGAAUCUGGUCAGCAGCCCACAGUGCAACGUGGCUCUCUCUUUGCUCUCAGGGACAUGGAUGAAGCUGGAAACCAUCAUUCUCAGCAAACUA